UACGGAGGGUGCAAGCGUUAUCCGGAUUCACUGGGUUUAAAGGGUGCGUAGGCGGCUUUAUAAGUCAUUGGUGAAAGCUCGCAGCUUAACUGUGAAACUGCCAAUGAAACUGUUUAGCUUGAAUGUGGUUGAAGUGGGCGGAAUACAACAUGUAGCGGUGAAAUGCUUAGAUAUGUUUUAGAACACCGAUUGCGAAGGCAGCUCACUAAGCCAAUAUUGACGCUGAGGCACGCAAGCGUGGGUAGCAAACAGG
rnacentral:rRNA from 1 species